CCUACGGGUGGCAGCAGUGAGGAAUAUUGCUCAAUGGGCGAAACCCUGAUCCAGCCACGUCGCGUGAGUGAUGAAGGCUCUCGGUAUUUAAAGCUCUUUCUGCAGGGAAGAAAAUGACGGUACCUGUUGAAGAAUCCCCGGCUCACUACGUACCAGCACCCGCUGUAAUAAGUAGGGGGCCAGCGUUAUCCGGAUUUACUGGGUGUAAAGGGGGCGUCGACGGCAUGACAAGUCUGGAGUGAAAGGCCGGGGCUUAACCCCGGAACUGCUUUGGAAACUGUGCCGCUAGAGUGCAGGAGAGGUAAGUGGAAUUCCUGGUGUAGCGGUGAAAUGCGUAGAUAUUAGGAGGAACACCGGUGGCGAAGGCAGCUUACUGGAGUGCAACUGACGUUGAGGCUCGAAAGCGUGGGGAGCAAACAGGAUUAGAUACCCGAGUAGUC
rnacentral:rRNA from 1 species